CAGCUUGGGUCCAGAAUCCACUCCAGCCCUAGCAACGUGACAGAGUGGGAAGAUCAUAUGGUACAAACACGGUUUCUAAGGCUCUCUACUAUGGGUGAAAGCUUCAGAGAAGGAGGCUUUAAGACUGCAAAGAUAAUCCAAAAAUUGUCUGGUAUAAGCAGGUCUGAGAUCUCCAAUACAAAUUAAGAAUUUUGGUAGUGCCAAUACAUUGUGUGGUUGGGUGUGUGUAUGUGUGUGUAUGUGUGCUAACAGAGAUAGGGAGAUAGAUGAGACUGGAGAGUUUGCAAGAAGGAUAUUGUGAAAGAGUUUUAAUCUUUUUGUUUUUUAGUUGAUGAAGGACUUUUAAACAUUUUGAUAGUAAAAUGAUCAGAAUUGUAUUUUGGGUAGUUAGCUAUGAUGGUGGUGUGGAUGAUGAAUUGGAAAGGGAUAAAUUGGAAGAAAAGAAGACAGGUCACAGGUAACUGAAAUAGUCUAGAUAAGAGACAAUUAGAGCCUUAACUAGACAAUGGGGUUGGGCAAAAUGAGAUGAAGUGGAAAAACAUUUCAGGAGAAAGAAAUAGAACAUUGUGGCCUAUUCAACGUGGCUGAGGAUUUAGGAGGAAACUAAAAUGGUUCCCACCUUUCUGAUGUAAGCAAAAGAGUAUCAGGGAGAGUGAUUCACCAAGACAAGCAACAGAAGAGGAGACUGGGCUGCAUAAGUAUGUGGCAGUUGUGCUGAGUUAAGGUACUGAGGACCACCGAAGGCAAAUGGUGAAUAGGAAGAUAGCCGUUCCCCUUGGGAGUGAGGUCUGGGCUGGAGGUGAGAUUUGGGAAUCAUAAAUCAUGGAUGGUAACUGAAGCCAACGGGUGAUAUUUUCCAGGAAAAUUGUGCAGAGUCAGUAAAGAAGUGGAGGGAGGAUGGAGCCCUGAGGGGGGCCGCAUUAGAGGUGAGUGGAAGACAACAACCUCAGAGAGGAGGUUGAGAGGAAUGGCCAUGGAGGUGAGAAAACCAGAAAAAAAGGGUGUCCUGGAAGUCAAAAAAGAAGAAUUUCAAAAGAUAGGGAAGUCGGUUGUCACCAACCUGUGCUGCAGGCCAGGUAGAUAUGAUUUCCAUUUUAUGGGGAGAAAACUGAAAUUUGGAGACAUAAAUGACUCACCCAAAUUCAUUGGGCUGAUUAGUGUCAAAGGCAAGACUAGAACUGAGAUUUUCGACUUUGAAUUCUGUGCUCUUUUGACCACAGAACACCACAAUAAUGCCCUGGCAGAGGAACUCUGGAGCAGCCACCAAGCUCUUCUAGGAGGAAAGACAGGAGCUGAGGAACAGACUCAAAAGCAGGAAAGGCCAGAAAUCAUCAACAGGUUAAGUCUGACAGCAGGAACUGAGCUCUUCACCAGCGCAUAUUCCUGCCUCUCGGUGCUGCAGAAACCUCUCUACAAUUUCACAUCAAGUCUUAGCACCUCAGCAAUCCAUGGAACUCCUUGGAGAAAGACACAAGAGGGUCUCUCUAUGAUUUUUAUCUUCAUAUCAUUGUUCCUGUUAUUAACCACUUCUGAGACCAUGUCUAAAAGUACUACAAGCAACUAACGAGUCAAUUAAAAAAAUUCCAGCUUUGCAUUCUGUGAACCACAAAGAAAAAGACAAAAACUAGUUGCUGUGCGUUCUUUUCUUUUUUCCGCUUUUCAUUUGGUCAUGUUGGAAUGGCAAAGUCUGCCUCCCUAAUAAAAUGUACAUUUUCACUGACA
rnacentral:lncRNA from 1 species